UUCUAAAAAGCUAAUAUAAAGCAUUAGUCUUUUAAACUAAAAUCAAUAAUAAUAUAUUUUAGAAA
rnacentral:tRNA from 1 species